rnacentral:rRNA from 1 species
UGGGUAUUAUUGGACAAUGGGCGAAAGCCUGAUCCAGCCAUGCCGCGUGUGUGAAGAAGUUCUUCGGAUUGUAAAGCACUGUAAGUUGGGAGGAAGGGCAGUAAGCGAAUACCUUGCUGUUUUGACGUUACCGACAGAAUAAGCACCGGCUAACUCUGUGCCAGCAGCCGCGGUAAUACAGAGGGUGCAAGCGUUAAUCGGAAUUACUGGGCGUAAAGCGCGCGUAGGUGGUUCGUUAAGUUGAAUGUGAAAGCCCCGGGCUCAACCUGGGAACUGCAUCCCAAACUGGCGGGCUAGAGUAGGGCAGAGGGUGGUGGAAUUUCCUGUGUAGCGGUGAAAUGCGUAGAUAUAGGAAGGAACACCAGUGGCGAAGGCGACCACCUGGGCUCAUACUGACACUGAGGUGCGAAAGCGUGGGGAGCAAACAGG